rnacentral:rRNA from 1 species
UUAAGCGACUAAGCGUACACGGUGGAUGCCCUGGCAGUCAGAGGCGAUGAAGGACGUGCUAAUCUGCGAAAAGCGUCGGUAAGGUGAUAUGAACCGUUAUAACCGGCGAUGUCCGAAUGGGGAAACCCAGUGCAAUUCGUUGCACUAUCGUUAACUGAAUACAUAGGUUAACGAGGCGAACCGGGGGAACUGAAACAUCUAAGUACCCCGAGGAAAAGAAAUCAACCGAGAUUCCCCCAGUAGCGGCGAGCGAACGGGGAGCAGCCCAGAGUCUGAAUCAGCUUGUGUGUUAGUGGAACGGUCUGGAAAGUCCGACGGUACAGGGUGAUAGUCCCGUACACCAAAAUGCACAGGCUGUGAACUCGAAGAGUAGGGCGGGACACGUGGUAUCCUGUCUGAAUAUGGGGGGACCAUCCUCCAAGGCUAAAUACUCCUGACUGACCGAUAGUGAACCAGUACCGUGAGGGAAAGGCGAAAAGAACCCCGGCGAGGGGAGUGAAAAAGAACCUGAAACCGUGUACGUACAAGCAGUGGGAGCACCUUCGGGUGUGACUGCGUACCUUUUGUAUAAUGGGUCAGCGACUUAUAUUCUGUAGCAAGGUUAACCGUAUAGGGGAGCCGCAGGGAAACCGAGUCUUAACUGGGCGUUAAGUUGCAGGGUAUAGACCCGAAACCCGGUGAUCUAGCCAUGGGCAGGUUGAAGGUUGGGUAACACUAACUGGAGGACCGAACCGACUAAUGUUGAAAAAUUAGCGGAUGACUUGUGGCUGGGGGUGAAAGGCCAAUCAAACCGGGAGAUAGCUGGUUCUCCCCGAAAGCUAUUUAGGUAGCGCCUCGUGAACUCAUCUUCGGGGGUAGAGCACUGUUUCGGCUAGGGGGUCAUCCCGACUUACCAACCCGAUGCAAACUACGAAUACCGAAGAAUGUUAUCACGGGAGACACACGGCGGGUGCUAACGUCCGUCGUGAAGAGGGAAACAACCCAGACCGCCAGCUAAGGUCCCAAAGUCACAGUUAAGUGGGAAACGAUGUGGGAAGGCACAGACAGCCAGGAUGUUGGCUUAGAAGCAGCCAUCAUUUAAAGAAAGCGUAAUAGCUCACUGGUCGAGUCGGCCUGCGCGGAAGAUGUAACGGGGCUAAACUGUGCACCGAAGCUGCGGCAGCGACACUAUGUGUUGUUGGGUAGGGGAGCGUUCUGUAAGCCUGCGAAGGUGGCCUGUGAGGGUUGCUGGAGGUAUCAGAAGUGCGAAUGCUGACAUAAGUAACGAUAAUGCGGGUGAAAAGCCCGCACGCCGGAAGACCAAGGGUUCCUGUCCAACGUUAAUCGGGGCAGGGUGAGUCGACCCCUAAGGCGAGGCCGAAAGGCGUAGUCGAUGGGAAACAGGUUAAUAUUCCUGUACUUGGUGUUACUGCGAAGGGGGGACGGAGAAGGCUAUGUUAGCCGGGCGACGGUUGUCCCGGUUUAAGCAUGUAGGCGGAGGUUCCAGGUAAAUCCGGUACCUUUUAACGCUGAGGUGUGAUGACGAGGCACUACGGUGCUGAAGUAACAAAUGCCCUGCUUCCAGGAAAAGCCUCUAAGCAUCAGGUAACAUUAAAUCGUACCCCAAACCGACACAGGUGGUCAGGUAGAGAAUACCAAGGCGCUUGAGAGAACUCGGGUGAAGGAACUAGGCAAAAUGGUGCCGUAACUUCGGGAGAAGGCACGCUGAUAUGUAGGUGAAGCCCCUGCGGGUGGAGCUGAAAUCAGUCGAAGAUACCAGCUGGCUGCAACUGUUUAUUAAAAACACAGCACUGUGCAAACACGAAAGUGGACGUAUACGGUGUGACGCCUGCCCGGUGCCGGAAGGUUAAUUGAUGGGGUUAUCCGUAAGGAGAAGCUCUUGAUCGAAGCCCCGGUAAACGGCGGCCGUAACUAUAACGGUCCUAAGGUAGCGAAAUUCCUUGUCGGGUAAGUUCCGACCUGCACGAAUGGCGUAAUGAUGGCCAGGCUGUCUCCACCCGAGACUCAGUGAAAUUGAACUCGCUGUGAAGAUGCAGUGUACCCGCGGCAAGACGGAAAGACCCCGUGAACCUUUACUAUAGCUUGACACUGAACAUUGAGCCUUGAUGUGUAGGAUAGGUGGGAGGCUUUGAAGCGUGGACGCCAGUCUGCGUGGAGCCAACCUUGAAAUACCACCCUUUAAUGUUUGAUGUUCUAACGUUGGCCCCUAAUCGGGGUUGCGGACAGUGUCUGGUGGGUAGUUUGACUGGGGCGGUCUCCUCCCAAAGAGUAACGGAGGAGCACGAAGGUUAGCUAAUCCUGGUCGGACAUCAGGAGGUUAGUGCAAUGGCAUAAGCUAGCUUGACUGCGAGCGUGACGGCGCGAGCAGGUGCGAAAGCAGGUCAUAGUGAUCCGGUGGUUCUGAAUGGAAGGGCCAUCGCUCAACGGAUAAAAGGUACUCCGGGGAUAACAGGCUGAUACCGCCCAAGAGUUCAUAUCGACGGCGGUGUUUGGCACCUCGAUGUCGGCUCAUCACAUCCUGGGGCUGAAGUAGGUCCCAAGGGUAUGGCUGUUCGCCAUUUAAAGUGGUACGCGAGCUGGGUUUAGAACGUCGUGAGACAGUUCGGUCCCUAUCUGCCGUGGGCGCUGGAGAAUUGAGGGGGGCUGCUCCUAGUACGAGAGGACCGGAGUGGACGCAUCACUGGUGUUCGGGUUGUCAUGCCAAUGGCAUUGCCCGGUAGCUAAAUGCGGAAGAGAUAAGUGCUGAAAGCAUCUAAGCACGAAACUUGCCCCGAGAUGAGUUCUCCCUGAGACUUUAAGUCUCCUGAAGGAACGUUAAAGACGAUGACGUUGAUAGGUCGGGUGUGUAAGCGUAGCGAUACGUUGAGCUAACCGAUACUAAUGAACCGUGAGGCUUAACCUU